AAUGGAGGGAGCUGCUCCUCCCCCUACCUGUUCGGCGAGGGAGCGAUGGCCGCUCUUCAGCGAUUCCUCCCGUCGAAUGAAUCGUACCUCUCGGAUGACGCGGGGGACGAGUCCGAACUCUUGCUGGCGCCGCCGGUGGAUGCGUACUCCUGCGAUGAAUUUCGGAUGUACGAGUUCAAGGUGAGGCGGUGCGCGAGGGGACGGUCGCACGACUGGACGGAGUGCCCCUACGCGCACCCCGGCGAGAAGGCGAGGCGGCGGGAUCCCCGCAAGUACAACUACUCCGGCACCGCCUGCCCCGAUUUCCGCAAGGGGAGUUGCAAGAGAGGAGAUACCUGCGAGUUCGCGCAUGGAGUGUUCGAGUGCUGGUUGCAUCCGACGAGGUACCGGACCCAGCCUUGCAAGGACGGCACGGGCUGCCGCCGCCGCGUGUGUUUCUUCGCCCACACGGCGGAGCAGUUGAGGGUGCUGUCUCAGCCUCAGCA
rnacentral:lncRNA from 1 species